rnacentral:rRNA from 1 species
GUUGUCCGGAUUUACUGGGGUUUAAAGGGAUCCGUAGGCGGGAGAAUUAGUCGGCGAUGAAAUCAGGUGGCUCAACCAUCUGGCUGUUGCCGAAACUGUUCUUCUUGAACUAGAUUGAGGUGGCUGGAAUAGGCAGUGUAGCGGUGAAAUGCGUAGAGAUUGCCUAGAACACCGAUUGCGAAGGCAGGUCACUAAGUCUAAAUUGACGCUGAUGGAUGAAAGCGUGGGGAGCGAACAGGAUUAGAUACCCUGGUAGUCCACGCCGUAAACGAUGGAUACUCGCUGCUCGAACACUUGAGUUCGAGUGGCUGCGAGAAAUCAUUAAGUAUCCCACCUGGGGAGUACGCCCGCAAGGGUGAAACUCAAAGGAAUUGACGGGGGCCCGCACAAGUGGUGGAGCAUGUGGUUUAAUUCGAUGAUACGCGAGGAACCUUACCUGGGCUCGAAUGGUACCGGAAGGUCCCCGAAACGGGACUGUUUCUUCGGAACCGGUAUCAAGGUGCUGCAUGGUUGUCGUCAGCUCGUGCCGUGAGGUGUUGGGUUAAGUCCCGCAACGAGCGCAACCCCUAUGGUUAGUUGCCAGCAGGUUAAGCUGGGGACUCUAGCCAGACUGCCCGUGCAAGCGGAGAGGAAGGCGGGGACGACGUCAAAUCAUCAUGGCCCUUACGCCCAGGGCGACACACGUGCUACAAUGGACGGUACAGCAGGCAGCGACCCCGCGAGGGCAAGCAAAUCCGCAAAAGCCGUUCUCAGUUCGGAUCGUAGUCUGCAACUCGACUGCGUGAAGCCGGAAUCACUAGUAAUCGCGCAUCAGCCAUGGCGCGGUGAAUACGUUCCCGGGCCUUGUACACACCGCCCGUCAAGCCACGGAAGCUGGGGGUGCCUGAAGUUG